UACGGGGGGGGCAAGCGUUGUCCGGAAUUACUGGGCGUAAAGGGCUCGUAGGCGGCCAACUAAGUCAGACGUGAAAUCCCUCGGCUUAACCGGGGAACUGCGUCUGAUACUGGAUGGCUUGAAUCCGGGAGAGGGAUGCGGAAUUCCAGGUGUAGCGGUGAAAUGCGUAGAUAUCUGGAGGAACACCGGUGGCGAAGGCGGCAUCCUGGACCGGCAUUGACGCUGAGGAGCGAAAGCCAGGGGAGCAAACGGG
rnacentral:rRNA from 1 species